CCCCAUUUUAGUUAGAAAAAUUGUUCUCAAACUCAUAAUUCAUGAUUCUGUUUUGCUCUUUUCUAAAGAAAACUACUUUUUCAAUUCGUUUUCUUCUUCCUCCCAACUCAAGCACCUGCUCCUGCUCCAAUCAGUGAUGUUGUAGGAACAACAAUCGACCAAGGAAUUGCAUACGUGUUAAUGCUAGUUGUUCUUGUGCUAACCUAUAUUAUUCAUGAGACAAAUUAAGAAGUGAAAUUAUGAAUUAGGUAUUUGUUAGUGAAUGAAGAACGACGACGAUGAUAACUUUCUUAUAUAUAAAAAAUAAACUUACAAGGUUAUGUGGAUGAAUGAGGAGGGAGGAUGGGAUUGUUUGAGCUUUGAGAAAUGGCGUGGUGUUGAUUUUGUGCGAGCGACUGGCUGCAGCAGGGGGAUGAAAUGAGGAUUAAGAGAUAGCCAGUGUCCGAGAAAGUUCAAGUCCAAUCCUGACACCGUAACGGAGUUUUGUAUAUAGGUAUUAUCACAGUAUUUUGUUAUGUUUUGUAGAAUUUGGUUAUAUAUAUUUAUUGUUUUUUGUACACAAGUAUGUUCCUUGUAGAAGGGAUAUACUAUACAAAUCUACCUUUGUUACACGACGUUUCAUCAAGUUCAGUUUAUCUUUUCA